GAUGAAGAACGCAGCGAAAUGCGAUAAGUAGUGUGAAUUGCAGAAUUCAGUGAAUCAUCGAAUCUUUGAACGCACAUUGCGCCCCUUGGUAUUCCAUGGGGCAUGCCUGUUCGAGCGUCAUUUGUACCUUCAAGCUUUGCUUGGUGUUGGGUGUUUGUCUCGCCUUUGCGUGUAGACUCGCCUUAAAAUAAUUGGCAGCCGGCGUAUUGAUUUCGGAGCGCAGUACAUCUCGCGCUUUGCACUCAUAACGACAGCGUCCAAAAGUACAUUUUACACUCUUGACCUCGUAUCAGGUAGGGAUACCCGCUGAACUUAAGCAUAUCAAUAAGCGGAGGA
rnacentral:misc_RNA from 1 species